UUGAUUCAUUUGUUUUUUCACUCAGAAGAUUCCAAAAAAUACAAGAGUUUGUGGUCCCCGGCGGGCGCCUGGUUCCGAGCACGAAGGCCCGGGGCGGUCCCGCCGAAGCAACGAUAGGUAUGUUCACAGGGGUUUGGGAGUUGUAAACUCGGUAAUGAUCCCUCCGCUGGUUCACCAACGGAGA
rnacentral:misc_RNA from 1 species